rnacentral:rRNA from 1 species
GGGAAAAGCUCAAAUUUAAAAUCUGGUAGUCUUUGGCUGCCCGAGUUGUAAUCUAGAGAAGUGUUAUCCGUAUUGGACCAUGUAAAAGUCUCUUGGAAAAGGGCAUCAUAGAGGGUGAUAAUCCCGUCUUUGGCACAGAUCCCAGGGCCCUUGUGAUACGCUUUCAAA